rnacentral:misc_RNA from 1 species
CCUAGAGUUGUAGGCUUUUGCCUGCUAUCUCUUACCCAUGUCUUUUGAGUACCUUACGUUUCCUCGGUGGGUUCGCCCACCGAUUGGACAAACUUAAACCCUUUGCAGUUGAAAUCAGCGUCUGAAAAAAACUUAAUAGUUA